AGUCUUCGGGGCGGAGUGAAAUUCUCCACCGACGGUAUAGCCCGUGAGCUCUUUGUGAGUUGAUUUGGUGUAAUUCCAAAGCCGACAGUACAGUCUGGAUGGUAGAAGAU
rnacentral:ncRNA from 1 species